rnacentral:rRNA from 1 species
GACAGAGGGUGCAAACGUUGUUCGGAAUUACUGGGCGUAAAGCGCGUGUAGGCGGCUAUGCAAGUCGGAUGUGAAAGCCCUCGGCUCAACCGGGGAAGUGCACCCGAAACUGCAAAGCUAGAGUCUCGGAGAGGAUCGUGGAAUUCUCGGUGUAGAGGUGAAAUUCGUAGAUAUCGAGAGGAACACCUGCGGCGAAGGCGGGUUGCUGGGCCGACACUGACGCUGAGGCGCGAAAGCUAGGGGAGCGAACGGG